AAUACAGGGCUUAAGGGCCAGAAAAUACCUAUUCAGAGCCUUACGGAUUUGUAUUUGGGAUGAGUUAAGUAUAAACCCCUUAACAAGUAUCAAUUGGAGGGCAAGUCUGGUGCCAGCAGCCGCGGUAAUUCCAGCUCCAAUAGCGUAUAUUAAAGUUGUUGCAGUUAAAAAGCUCGUAGUUAAUUUUCUGUUAAUUUUUAUAUACAAUGCUACGGUAUUUAUAUAAUAUUAACAUAAUUCAUAUUACUUUUUAGUAAAUGAAACUUUAAUUUGAAAAAAUUAAAAUGGUUAAAGCAAGGAAUU
rnacentral:rRNA from 1 species